rnacentral:rRNA from 1 species
AGCGUGGAGACAGGUGGUGCAUGGCUGUCGUCAGCUCGUGUCGUGAGAUGUUGGGUUAAGUCCCUCAACGAGCGCAACCCUCACCUCUUGUUGCCAUCAGGUCAUGCUGGGCACUCUAGAGGAACUGCCCCGGUCAACGGGGAGGAAGGCGGGGAUGACGUCAAGUCAUCAUGCCCCUUACGUCCUGGGCUACACACGUGCUACAAUGGCCGGUACAAAGGGAUGCCACACCGCGAGGUAGAGCUAAACCCAAAAAGCCGGUCUAAGUUCAGAUUGGAGUCUGCAACUCGACUCCAUGAAGGAGGAAUCGCUAGUAAUCGCGUAUCAGCACGACGCGGUGAAUACGUUCCCGGGCCUUGUACACACCGCCCGUCACACCACGAAAGCCUGCUGUACUCGAAGUCGCUGAG